ACCUGGGUGGCUCAGUUGGUUGAGCAUCUGACCUUGGCUCAGGUCACGAUCUCACAGCUUGUGGGUUCGAGCCCCGCGUCAGGCU
rfam:Felis catus isolate Cinnamon breed Abyssinian chromosome D4, whole genome shotgun sequence.